UACGGAGGGUGCAAACGUUGCUCGGAAUCAUUGGGCGUAAAGCGCACGUAGGCGGCUCGUUAAGUCGGAUGUGAAAGCCCUCGGCUCAACCGAGGAAGUGCAUACGAAACUGGCGAGCUUGAAUAUGGAAGAGGGUCGCGGAAUUCCCGGUGUAGAGGUGAAAUUCGUAGAUAUCGGGAGGAACACCGGUGGCGAAGGCGGCGACCUGGGUAGAUACUGACGCUGAGGUGCGAAAGCGUGGGGAGCAAACAGG
rnacentral:rRNA from 1 species